rnacentral:rRNA from 1 species
UACGGUGGGGGCAAGCGUUGUUCGGAAUUACUGGGCGUAAAGGGUUCGUAGGUGGCCCGCUAAGUCACACGUGAAAUCCCUCAGCUUAACUGGGGAACUGCGUGUGAGACUGGCAGGCUUGAGUGCAGGAGAGGAACGCGGAAUUCCAGGUGUAGCGGUGAAAUGCGUAGAUAUCUGGAGGAACACCGGUGGCGAAGGCAGCGUUCUGGACUGUAUCUGACACUGAGGAACGAAAGCCAGGGGAGCAAACGGG